rnacentral:rRNA from 1 species
CCUACGGGUGGCAGCAGUGAGGAAUAUUGGUCAACGGACGAGAGUCUGAACCAGCCAAGUAGCGUGAAGGAUGACUGCCCUAUGGGUUGUAAACUUCUUUUAUAUGGGAAUAAAACGUUCCACGUGUGGGAUUUUGUAUGUACCAUAUGAAUAAGGAUCGGCUAACUCCGUGCCAGCAGCCGCGGUAAUACGGAGGAUCCGAGCGUUAUCCGGAUUUAUUGGGUUUAAAGGGAGCGUAGGUGGAUUGUUAAGUCAGUUGUGAAAGUUUGCGGCUCAACCGUAAAAUUGCAGUUGAAACUGGCAGUCUUGAGUACAGUAGAGGUGGGCGGAAUUCGUGGUGUAGCGGUGAAAUGCUUAGAUAUCACGAAGAACUCCGAUUGCGAAGGCAGUUCACUGGACUGCAACUGACACUGAGGCUCGAAAGUGUGGGUAUCAAACAGGAUUAGAUACCCUUGUAGUC